rnacentral:rRNA from 1 species
GUGAGUAACACGUGGGCAACCUGCCUGUAAGACUGGGAUAACUUCGGGAAACCGAAGCUAAUACCGGAUAGGAUCUUCUCCUUCAUGGGAGAUGAUUGAAAGAUGGUUUCGGCUAUCACUUACAGAUGGGCCCGCGGUGCAUUAGCUAGUUGGUGAGGUAACGGCUCACCAAGGCAACGAUGCAUAGCCGACCUGGAGGGUGAUCGGCCACACUGGGACUGAGCAGCGCCCAGACUCCUACGGGAGGCAGCAGUAGGGAAUCUUCCGCAAUGGACGAAAGUCUGACGGAGCAACGCCGCGUGAGUGAUGAAGGCUUUCGGGUCGUAAAACUCUGUUGUUAGGGAAGAACAAGUACGAGGUAACUGCUCGUACCUUGACGGUACCUAACCAGAAAGCCACGGCUAACUA